rnacentral:rRNA from 1 species
AUUGAACGCUGGCGGCAGGCUUAACACAUGCAAGUCGAGCGUGCCGCGGACGUGUGUGUUAUUUCUGGGACACUGCCUGAUGGAGGGGGAUAACUACUGGAAACUGUAGCUACUACCGCAUACCUUCACCUGUCCCCAGAUGGGAUUAGCUAGUAGGUGGGGUAAUGGCUCACCUAGGCGACGAUCCCUUGCUGGUCUGAGAGGAUGACCAGCCACACUGGAACUGAGACACGGUCCAGACUCCUACGGGAGGCAGCAGUGGGGAAUAUUGCACAAUGGGCGCAAGCCUGAUGCAGCCAUGCCGCGUGUGUGAAGAAGGCCUUCGGGUUGUAAAGCACUUUCAGCGGGGAGGCGUUACACGCAGAAGAAGCACCGGCUAACUCCGUGCCAGCAGCCGCGGUAAUUC